rnacentral:rRNA from 1 species
UACGUAGGGUGCGAGCGUUGUCCGGAUUUAUUGGGCGUAAAGAGCUCGUAGGCGGUUUGUCGCGUCUGCUGUGAAAACGCGAGGCUCAACCUCGCGCCUGCAGUGGGUACGGGCAGACUAGAGUGCGGUAGGGGAGAUUGGAAUUCCUGGUGUAGCGGUGGAAUGCGCAGAUAUCAGGAGGAACACCGAUGGCGAAGGCAGAUCUCUGGGCCGUUACUGACGCUGAGGAGCGAAAGCGUGGGGAGCGAACAGG